GAUCAUGGCUCAGGGUGAACGCUAGCUACAGGCUUAACACAUGCAAGUCGAGGGGCAGCAUUUCAGUUUGCUUGCAAACUGGAGAUGGCGACCGGCGCACGGGUGAGUAACACGUAUCCAACCUGCCGAUAACUCGGGGAUAGCCUUUCGAAAGAAAGAUUAAUACCCGAUAGUAUAAUUAGACCGCAUGGUCUUAUUAUUAAAGAAUUUCGGUUAUCGAUGGGGAUGCGUUCCAUUAGGCAGUUGG
rnacentral:rRNA from 1 species